rnacentral:rRNA from 1 species
CCUACGGGUGGCAGCAGUGAGGAAUAUUGGUCAAUGGUCGGAAGACUGAACCAGCCAAGCCGCGUGAGGGAUGAAGGUACAGAGUAUCGUAAACCCCUUUUGUCAGGGAACAAAGGCGGGGACGCGUCCCCGGAGGAGUGUACCUGAAGAAAAAGCAUCGGCUAACUCCGUGCCAGCAGCCGCGGUAAUACGGAGGAUGCGAGCGUUAUCCGGAUUUAUUGGGUUUAAAGGGUGCGUAGGCGGAAGGUUAAGUCAGCGGUAAAAUGUCGGUGCUCAACACCGGCCUGCCGUUGAAACUGGUAUUCUUGAGUGAGCGAGAAGUAUGCGGAAUGCGUGGUGUAGCGGUGAAAUGCAUAGAUAUCACGCAGAACUCCGAUUGCGAAGGCAGCAUACCGGCGCUCAACUGACGCUGAGGCACGAAAGCGUGGGGAUCGAACAGGAUUAGAUACCCUGGUAGUC